GCUUACCAUGCAAGUCGAGCGGAAGGCCCUUCGGGGUACUCGAGCGGCGAACGGGUGAGUAACACGUGGGCAACCUGCCCCUAGCUCUGGGAUAACUCCGGGAAACCGGGGCUAAUACCGGAUAUGACCACAGUCGGCAUCGGUUGUGGUGGAAAGUUUUUCGGCUAGGGAUGGGCUCGCGGCCUAUCAGCUUGUUGGUGGGGUAAUGGCCUACCAAGGCGACGACGGGUAGCCGGCCUGAGAGGGCGACCGGCCACACUGGGACUGAGACACGGCCCAAACUCCUACGGGAGGCAGCAGUGGGGAAUAUUGCGCAAUGGGCGAAAGCCUGACGCAGCGACGCCGCGUGAGGGAUGAAGGCCUUCGGGUUGUAAACCUCUUUCAGCAGGGACGAAUUCAGACGGUACCUGCAAAAGAAGCACCGGCCAACUACGUGCCAGCAGCCGCGGUAAUACGUAGGGUGCAAGCGUUGUCCGGAAUUAUUGGGCGUAAAGAGCUCGUAGGCGGUUUGUCGCGUCGGCUGUGAAACCUCGGGGCUCAACCCCGAGCCUGCGGUCGAUACGGGCAGACUAGAGUGCGGUAGGGGAGACUGGAAUUCCUGGUGUAGCGGUGAAAUGCGCAGAUAUCAGGAGGAACACCGGUGGCGAAGGCGGGUCUCUGGGCCGUAACUGACGCUGAGGAGCGAAAGCGUGGGGAGCAAACAGGAUUAGA
rnacentral:rRNA from 1 species